UACGUAGGGUGCAAGCGUUGUCCGGAAUUAUUGGGCUUAAAGAGCUCGUAGGCGGUUUGUCGCGUCUGCUGUGAAAACUCGGGGCUUAACUCCGGGCCUGCAGUGGGUACGGGCAGACUAGAGUGCGGUAGGGGAGACUGGAAUUCCUGGGGUAGCGGUGAAAUGCGCAGAUAUCAGGAGGAACACCGGUGGCGAAGGCGGGUCUCUGGGCCGUAACUGACGCUGAGGAGCGAAAGCGUGGGGAGCGAACAGG
rnacentral:rRNA from 1 species